rnacentral:rRNA from 1 species
UGCAGUCGAGCGAAUCAAUGGGAGCUUGCUCCCUGAGAUUAGCGGCGGACGGGUGAGUAACACGUGGGUAACCUGCCUGUAAGAUUGGGAUAACUCCGGGAAACCGGAGCUAAUACCGGAUAACAUUUUGAACCGCAUGGUUCAAAAUUGAAAGAUGGUUUCUGCUAUCACUUACAGAUGGACCCGCGGCGCAUUAACUAGUUGGUGAAGUAACGGCUCACCAAGGCAACGAUGCGUAACCGACCUGAAAGGGUGAUCGGCCACACUGGGACUGAAACCCCGCCCAGACUCCUACGGGAAGCAGCAGUAGGGAAUCUUCCCCAAUGGACGAAAGUCUGACGGAACAACGCCCCGUGAACGAUGAAGGGCUUCGGGUCGUAAAGUUCUGUUGUUAGGGAAAAACAAGUACCAGAAUAACUGCUGGUACCUUGACGGUACCUAACCAAAAAGCCACGGCUAACUACGUGCCAGCAGCCGCGGUAAUACGUARGUGGCAAGCGUUGUCCGGAAUUAUUGGGCGUAAAGCGUACGCAGGCGGUUUCUUAAGUCUGAUGUG